rnacentral:misc_RNA from 1 species
GGUCCUGCUCUAUUUCUUCUAAGGUAUUGUAUCUAUCUGUAAUUUUUUUCUGAAUUGGAGGAUCAUAGUUUAGAUGGAAUAAUUGGGAAAAUGAUCUUAACAUAAAAUGAAAGUUUCAUUCUGAAACCAAAAGUGAAAAAUGACUAGAUGGCAAAAACAGAUGCAUCAGAAGCUUUGACAGAAAAUCGGGAUACAAAUGUUGUCAAGUUCAACUCUAUAUCAGCUGGCAGCCAAGGCUAUUUGGCUUGAAUGGAAAACUUGAUAAACCAAGAGGGUCCAUAUAAAGGAUUUUCUCUGCAAGAAAACAAGUUCAAAAUGACCUAUAAUUGUUGAUAAUAGAGAUAUAAUUGUUGAUAAUAUGCAUAUAAGAUUUUAGAGUAACCUAGCAUCAAUUAUAGGACUAGCUCACUAAGAGAUCUCAGGCAUCAUAUAUUGUGAUGCAUAGUCCCCAAUUAGUGCAUGGCAUUUCACAGCGUAUGCAAAGGAUUAGGGGCAGAAAAUUCUUAUUUCUUUCCAAAAUAAGAUGCUACGGCCUGAUAUAUGGUUUCUUCAGUAGCUUUCUUUCUAGAGAAAUAUUUGAUAAGUAAGUUAAGGAGGUUCCCUUGAGGAUGCUACCUGACAAGUUGCAUCCAAUAUGCUGACCCUCUUAACUCUUAGGAGCCAACUAUCCUGUUCAUUAAGCUCCCAAACAAGCAGCUUGGUAUUCAAAAUUGCAAAAUAUUUUCCUUCGUUCUAAAAAAUUACAAAUUUUUUCCUAUGUCCGUGAAAAUCAAUGAGGAGUGUCCUGAAGCAAAUAUGUUUUUGUCAUAGUAAAAAAGGACAUUUUCUUCUUACGUGCCUUAUUGAAUUUCGUUUAUGGGAGAUUUUAGUGAAUGUAAUCUGAUUCAGCUUGCUGACUUGCUUGUGCACUCAUUUAUAGUUUGUCUGGUGGCCAUGUGGUGGGUAAUUUCUCUCCUCAUGAAGCAUUUGCCAUAGGCGGAACAAACAGUGUGAGAGGAUACGAAGAAGGUGCCGUAGGUUCUGGUCGAUCUUAUGUAGUUGGCUCUGGUGAAAUUUCUUUCCCUGU